GCAUUUGUUGGCAGAAAUGGAGUUGAAAUGCAAAUCAAACAAGAGCACAAGCGAGCAAGCAGUAGCAUAAAAUGGAAUGAGUGCAGGUCCGUUCUUUUCAGCCUCUGGGGAAAUGACCCUGCCAAUUCAGAAACCCGCAAGAGUUCCUGACCUAGAGAGUAACUAUCAAUGGCACGCCCGGAAGCUACGCUGUCGUUCUGAAUAGAUCUGUUUGACUUAUCACUUAAAAGUAAGACUCAGAUAACUGAAAUGACCUAAAGAGAUGGGAUUUCAGAAUAUUUGGGUGACCACAUUUAUUUGUUAUGUGUAUUCACACAUUAAAACAGAAAUUCAGAUUUUAAUUAACCCAGUGAAUUUGCCUGAAAAUAGGCUCCCUGGAACACAACUAAGUCGUGCUUAUGAUAAAGAUGUGGCUGGAAAGGGAGAUGUCUACCGUUUUCUGAAUAAAACAUAAGAUUUUGCCAUCGAUGCAAGUUCUGGUGUAAUCACUGCUACCAAAAUUUUUAAUUAUGAAACAGAUCUAAUAAGGUUUCUUCUGAUAGUUGAUACUGGGAGGCUCUAUAGACAUGUUUUGACCAUUAAUAUUAUUGAUGUUCCUGAAUCUCCAAACUGUACUGCUGAUCCCAAAUUUUCUUCAGGCACAGUUGGAGAGAAUGAAGAGGCAAAAUUAUAUGGGAUUGCAAGAGCUGGGUCUGCUAUAUUUCUUUUUAAAGGGAGACAUGAGUAAUUUUACAACAUGGAGAAUCCAUUUGAUGAGGAGGCUGAAGACAAACAAGAAAGUAGACGGAAUUUCACUCUUGGUACAAUCUCGGCUCACUGCAACCUCCACCUCCUGGGUUCAAGCAAUUUUCCUGCCUCAGCCUCCCAAGUAGCUGAGAUUAUGGGUGUGUGCCACCACGCCCAGCUAAUUUUUGUAUUUUUAGUAGAGAAGGGGUUUUGCCGUGUUGGCCGGGCUGGUCUUGAACUUCUGACCUCGGGUGAUCUGCCUGCCUCAGCCUCCCAAAGUUCUGGGAUUACAGCUACCUUAGAAAUUGAUGAAGACUAUCCAUUAUUUCAGUCCAUUUAUAGAGUGACGGCCACAGAUGAGGACUUCGCAAAUGGUGAUAGGCUGAAUUACACCAUUGAGACACAGUUAUCUGGACCAAAGAAAGGAGAAAACUCUUUUGGAAUGGAUCCUAUAAGUGGUGGUGUUAGUGUAAGAGGUGAAGAUCCCCUGGAUUUGGAUACUGGAUAUCAUGCCAUUUCCUUUGGAUUCUAUUAAUGUGACUGAGAAGAAAUCUGUUGGAGAAAUUAUAGCAAGAGUAAAAGCCACAGAUCGAGAAGAAGAUAGCAGUAUCAUUUAUUCCUUUAAGACUCAGCAGAAAAUAUUUGGUUUGGACCCCUUCACAGGAACAAUCACACUUCUUCAGCCUUUGAAUCUUGACAACCCAGUAACUCCAAAAUCUACUCUUUGGAAAUUGAGGCAACAGAUAACAGGAAUAAUACCAGCAGCUAUAUGUUUACAGUUUUUGUGGAGAAUAUAGAUGAUCCUAUUUCCUGUGAUCCAAGUUUUUCAACAGGAGCAGGUAUAAUACAAGUCAAUCUUAUUGAUAAAAUUCAUGAGACAAUAAUAAAAUUUAAAAAUAAAACUUGGAAUUAUAGUUUAAGCUUUCUAGUUUUAUAAAUGGGAAGUAAAUAAAAGCAAAUAAAGUGAGAUACAUAGCAUGUUCCUAAAAAGAAAAAAAACUAAAGUUACUAUAAUUCAAAUUUGAAUUCAAGUUAUAAUUAUUUCUGUGUGUGGUAGAUAGGGGGUAGGAGUAAUGACAAAAUUAUUCUGAGUGUAUCUGUAACAUAUGGAUUGAUAUGUAGCCUCACAAAUUAUCAAACACAUAAAAAUCUAAACAAUAAAAUACAAUUUUCACCUACUAAAUUGGCCAAAAUAUUAAAAUAAUAGGAAAAAAUUCAUCAUUGGCUAGAGUAUACAGAAAUUAUCACUUUCAUAAAGUUGGAUUUUAGAAUAACCACCUAGAAUACUAUUUCAUAAAGUUAUUUUAAAAAUGAUUAUAAUCUCUACCUGAGUAUUUCUCCCUGAAUUCAUCUUUACAGAAAUAUUGGAGAUAUAAUCAAGAUUUAUGUUCAAAGUUUGUAAUAGUAUAAGGUUUGAAAUAACCAAAAUGUCUAAGAAUAGGAAAUUGAUUAAAAGAUACUAUGUCCAUUUGAUGAAUUGCUAACCAUUAAAGAUUAUCUUCAAAAAAUAAUAAA